UAACCCAUUUUCCUCCAUCCUUUGCAGCUAUCCUUAACAUUGCAUUGCAUCCCUCCCUAGUGGCAGGCCGCGAGGAAAAAACUCCAUUUUCUCUCUUUGUACAUUUCCCUGCACGAAACCCUUCUUUUGAGCAAACAAACUCUCGACCAAUUAUUGAGUUAUCUUUAAGUGACCGACGUGUACGAUUGUUCCGUAUGGUAAACCCCAUACGCCACAUCUCGUAGAAUUCCCUGGCAUCCUCUGCUGAGUCAAACUCCAUUCCUAUAAAUGGUUCCAAAGCUAUAGGAAAAUUUUGAACAGAUGGCUGAACUAUGUUAUCAUUUCCAUCCAGAUUAUCUGAUAGCUCAUCUUCUGUUGUUUCUGGGCCAUCAAAAGUUUCAUCUAGCCAACGCCUAUAAUUUCCAUUUGAAUGGAAUUGUUGGCUGGAAGUACUUGCCAUCACAAACCAAUGAAAGCGACGAAUUACAUGAAAGAAUAAGGUGUUGGCGUUGUAAUCGAACGAAUAAACUCUGGGCAGAUUCUGUAAAAGCAAAUGCAAAGUUGGGAUUUUAGAGUUUUCCAAAUGAUUGGGAAUUUAAGGGACGAAGCCUACAUGGCUGGAGGAGGAU
rnacentral:misc_RNA from 1 species